rnacentral:rRNA from 1 species
AAAAUCCGGUAACCAUAAGGCUAGAUCGUGACAGGUAAGCGAAAUCUUAGGAAAGUAGCGAAGCACAUGAUGACGGCUUCCAGGAAAAGCUUCUGGCAAUGCAUAUGCGGCCCGUACCAAAACCGACACAGGUGGGCAGGGAGAGAAUCCCGAGGUGAGCGAGAGAACUGUUGCCAAGGAACUCGGCAAAAUGACUCCGUAAGUUAGCGAGAAGGAGUGCUUAAGCAAUUAAGCCGCAGUGAAGAGGCCCAAGCGACUGUUUAACUAAAACACAGCUCUCUGCGAAGACGCAAGACGAAGUAUAGGGGGUGACACCUGCCCGGUGCUGGAAGGUUAAGAGGAUCUGUUAAGAGCGAUCUGAAGCAGUGAUCCGAAGCCCCAGUGAACGGCGGCCGUAACGAUAACGGUCCUAAGGUAGCGAAUUUCCUUGUCAGGUAAGUUCUGACCCGCACGAAAGGUGUAACGAUUUGGGCGCUGUCUCGGCAGCAGACUCGGUGAAAUCUUAGUACCUGUGAAAAUGCAGGUUACCCGCAACUAGACGGAAAGACCCCAUGGAGCUUUACUGCAGCCUGAUAUUGAAUUCUGGUCAUACAUGUACAGGAUAGGUGGGAGACAAAGAGACGUGCACGCCAGUGUACGAGGAGUCGACGUUGGGAUACCACUCUUGUGUGACUGGGGUUCUAACCUGGUAUCGAGAACAGGUACGGGGAGAGUGUCAGGUGGGCAGUUUGACUGGGGCGGUCGCCUCCCAAAGAGUAACGGAGGCGCCCAAAGGUACGCUCAGAUUGGAUGGAAACCAAUCGUCGAGUGCAAUUGCAGAAGCGUGCUUGACUGUGAGACAGACAAGUCGAACAGGGACGAAAGUCGGGAAUAGUGAUCCGGCGGUGCCGAAUGGAAGGGCCGUCGCUCAACGGAUAAAAGCUACCCUGGGGAUAACAGGCUGAUCUCGCCCAAGAGUUCACAUCGACGGCGAGGUUUGGCACCUCGAUGUCGGCUCAUCGCAUCCUGGAGCUGGAUUCGGUUCCAAGGGUUGGGCUGUCCGCCCAUUAAAGCGGUACGCGAGCUGGGUUCAGAACGUCGUGAGACAGUUCGGUCCCUAUCUGUUGUGGGCGAAGGAGAUCUGCGGAGAGCUGUCCUCAGUAUGAGAGGACCGGGAUGGACCUACCGCUGGUGCACCGGUUGUUCCGCCAGGGGCAUAGCCGGGUAGCUAAGUAGGGAAAGGAUAAGCGCUGAAAGCAUCUAAGCACGAAGCCUACUCCAAGAUGAGAUCUCCCAUUCGCAAGAAGUAAGACCCCUUAAAGACGAUAAGGUAGAUAGGCCAGGGAUGGAGGUGCAGUGAUGUACGGAGUUGACUGGUACUAAUCGGUCGAGGACUUAAUC